rnacentral:rRNA from 1 species
GAUGAACGCUGGCGGCGUGCUUAACACAUGCAAGUCGAACGAAGCGAUCGGGAGGAAGUUUUCGGAUGGAAUCCGGAUUGACUGAGUGGCGGACGGGUGAGUAACGCGUGGGUAACCUGCCUCAUACAGGGGGAUAACAGUUAGAAAUGACUGCUAAUACCGCAUAAGCGCACAGGGACACAUGUUCCGGUGUGAAAAACUCCGGUGGUAUGAGAUGGACCCGCGUCUGAUUAGCUGGUUGGCGGGGUAACGGCCCACCAAGGCGACGAUCAGUAGCCGACCUGAGAGGGUGACCGGCCACAUUGGGACUGAGACACGGCCCAA